rnacentral:tRNA from 1 species
UGUUCUGUGGCUUAGUUGGUUAACGCGCCGAACUAGCAAUGCGGAGUGGUGGGUUUGAAUCCCACCAAAACAA